AUUGAACGCUGGCGGCAGGCCUAACACAUGCAAGUCGAGCGGAUGAAGGGAGCUUGCUCCUGGAUUCAGCGGCGGACGGGUGAGUAAUGCCUAGGAAUCUGCCUGGUAGUGGGGGAUAACGUCCGGAAACGGGCGCUAAUACCGCAUACGUCCUGAGGGAGAAAGUGGGGGAUCUUCGGACCUCACGCUAUCAGAUGAGCCUAGGUCGGAUUAGCUAGUUGGUGGGGUAAAGGCCUACCAAGGCGACGAUCCGUAACUGGUCUGAGAGGAUGAUCAGUCACUCUGGAACUGAGACACGGUCCAGACUCCUACGGGAGGCAGCAGUGGGAAAUAUUGGACAAUGGGCGAAAGCCUGAUCCAGCCAUGCCGCGUGUGUGAAGAAGGUCUUCGGAUUGUAAAGCACUUUAAGUUGGGAGGAAGGGCAGUAAGUUAAUACCUUGCUGUUUUGACGUUACCAACAGAAUAAGCACCGGCUAACUUCGU
rnacentral:rRNA from 1 species